rnacentral:rRNA from 1 species
GAUGAACGCUGGCGGCGUGCCUAAUACAUGCAAGUCGAGCGAACAGACGAGGAGCUUGCUCCUCUGACGUUAGCGGCGGACGGGUGAGUAACACGUGGAUAACCUACCUAUAAGACUGGGAUAACUUCGGGAAACCGGAGCUAAUACCGGAUAAUAUAUUGAACCGCAUGGUUCAAUAGUGAAAGACGGUUUUGCUGUCACUUAUAGAUGGAUCCGCGCCGCAUUAGCUAGUUGGUAAGGUGACGGCUUACCAAGGCGACGAUGCGUAGCCGACCUGAGAGGGUGAUCGGCCACACUGGAACUGAGACACGGUCCAGACUCCUACGGGAGGCAGCAGUAGGGAAUCUUCCGCAAAGGGCGAAAGCCUGACGGAGCAACGCCGCGUGAGUGAUGAAGGUCUUCGGAUCGUAAAACUCUGUUAUUAGGGAAGAACAAAUGUGUAAGUAACUAUGCACGUCUUGACGGUACCUAAUCAGAAAGCCACGGCUAACUACGUG